rnacentral:rRNA from 1 species
GUGGCAGCCGCCGACGGUAAUACGUAGGGCGCAAGCGUUAUCCGGAAUUAUUGGGCGUAAAGAGCUCGUAGGCGGUUUGUCGCGUCUGCUGUGAAAACCCGAGGCUCAACCUCGGGCCUGCAGUGGGUACGGGCAGACUAGAGUGCGGUAGGGGAGAUUGGAACUCCUGGUGUAGCGGUGGAAUGCGCAGAUAUCAGGAAGAACACCGAUGGCGAAGGCAGAUCUCUGGGCCGUAACUGACGCUGAGGAGCGAAAGGGUGGGGAGCAAACAGGCUUAGAUACCCUGGUAGUCCACCCCGUAAACGUUGGGAACUAGUUGUGGGGUCCAUUCCACGGAUUCCGUGACGCAGCUAACGCAUUAAGUUCCCCGCCUGGGGAGUACGGCCGCAAGGCUAAAACUCAAAUGAAUUGGCGG